rnacentral:rRNA from 1 species
CGGAGGGUGCAAGCGUUAUCCGGAUUCACUGGGUUUAAAGGGUGCGUAGGUGGGUUGGUAAGUCAGUGGUGAAAUCCCCGAGCUUAACUUGGGAACUGCCAUUGAUACUAUCAGUCUUGAAUACCGUGGAGGUCAGCGGAAUAUGUCAUGUAGCGGUGAAAUGCUUAGAUAUGACAUAGAACACCAAUUGCGAAGGCAGCUGACUACACGAAUAUUGACACUGAGGCACGAAAGCGUGGGGAUCAAACAGGAUUAGAUACCCUGGUAGUCCACGCCCUAAACUAUGGAUACUCGACAUACGCGAUACACUGUGUGUGUCUGAGCGAAAGCAUUAAGUAUCCCACCUGGGAAGUACGAUCGCAAGAUUG